GCUGCCCCAUAUCCAGGAUUCAACUCACCUCUUCAAAAAAUGACAUCAAAUUAAAACAAAUGAGGUGAAAUGUUCGAGACAAGAGUCAUGGAACUUUGGGAGCACUUUCGGGAACGGGGAUAUCAAGAAAAAUGGAUACGGAGGGCCUAUCUAUGUGCAAAACAUGCCAAAUGUGAAUGCCUUUCUACAGCCAAGACCUAGGAGUAACACUGAUAACCAGGUAUGACGACAAGGGAGCGGAAAAGAAGAACAAGAGAACAUGUUCUCGGCAUUCCGGCGGCAAAGGACGAAUCGGACCUAACAAAACUUACAACCGUACCGCGACACUUCAAGCUUUACCACGACUGCGAGCCAUGAGGCCUUAUUGAAAGAGGCAUUGAUUGGAUUUUCGUGGGAAUAAGGGGAGGUGACUGGGAGCUCAAACUUGCACA